rnacentral:tRNA from 1 species
GGAAGGGUACAGCUCAGUGGUAGAGUGCAUGCUUAGCAUGCAUGAGGUCCUGGGUUCAAUCCCCAAUACUUCCA